rnacentral:rRNA from 1 species
UACAGGGGGCUCGAGCGUUAGUCGGAAUCACUGGGCUUAAAGGGUGCGUAGGCGGCUCGCCAAGUGCUUUGUGAAAUCCCACAGCUCAACUGUGGAACAGCAGGGCAAACUGGCGAGCUUGAGGCAGGUAGGGGCCGGAAGAACAGUAGGUGGAGCGGUGAAAUGCGUAGAUAUCUACUGGAAUGCCGAUGGGGAAGCCGUCCGGCUGGGCCUGUCCUGACGCUGAGGCACGAAAGCGUGGGGAGCAAACAGG